rnacentral:rRNA from 1 species
CAAUAGCGUAUAUUAAAGUUGUUGCAGUUAAAAAGCUCGUAGUUGGAUUUCUGGGAGGGUGCCGCCGUCCGGCGUGUCCGUGUGCAGUGGCGCCCUUCCAUCCUUCUGUUAGCGUCUCUUGGCAUUCAUUUGCUGGUGGCGGGCUCAGAUAUUUUACCUUGAGAAAAUUAGAGUGUUUCAGGCAGGCUAGGCCGGAAUACAUUAGCAUGGAAUAAUGGAAUAGGACUACGGUCUCUUUGUUGGUUUGAGGGACUGCAGUAAUGAUUAAUAGGGAUAGUUGGGGGCAUUAGUAUUUAAUUGUCAGAGGUGGAAUUCUCAGAUUUGUUAAAGACUAACUUAUGCGAAAGCAUUUGCCAAGGAUGUUUUCAUUAAUCAAGAACGAAAGUUAGGGGAUCAAAGACGAUCAGAUACCAU